ensembl:misc_RNA Y_RNA Y RNA
GGCUGGUCUGAAGGUAGUAAGUUGUCUCGAUUGUUCAGUCAGUUACAGGUCUAUCUCCUUAUUCUACUCUUUCCUCCCUUCUCACUACUGCACUUGACUAAUCUUUA